rnacentral:misc_RNA from 1 species
GUGGGAGGGGGCUUGCCCCCGAUGGCGGUGGAUCAGUCAGCAUAUUUAUGACUGACAUACCGCCAUCGGGGGCAAGCCCCCUCCCAC